rnacentral:rRNA from 1 species
AAUUUUGGACAUUGGGCGCAAGCCUGAUCCAGCCAUGCCGCGUUAGUGAAGAAGGCCUUCGGGUUGUAAAGCUAUUUCGGACGGCAAGAAAUCGCGCAGGCUAAUACCCUGCGCGUUUGACGGUACCGUCAUAUGAAUCACCGGCUAACUACGUGCACGCAGCCGCGGUAAUACGUAGGGUGCGAGCGUUAAUCGGAAUUACGGGGCGUAAAGCGUGCACAGGCGGUUGAUUAAGACAGGCGUGAAAUCCCCGGGCUUAACCUGGGAACUGCGCUUGUGACUGGUCAGCUAGAGUACGGCAGAGGGGGGUGGAAUUCCACGUGUAGCAGUGAAAUGCGUAGAGAUUUGGAGGAACACCGAUGGCGAAGGCAGCCCCCUGGGCCGAUACUGACGCUCAUGCACGAAAGCGUGGGUAGCAAACAGG